ACCAUUAUGAAUGCCACCCUAAUCAAGCCUGAUCCCGUCUGAUCUUGUAAGCUAAGCAGGGUAGGGCCUGAUUAGUACUUGGAUGGGAGACCACCUAGGAAGACCAGGUGCUGUAGGCG
rnacentral:rRNA from 1 species